UGCGGACGGGUGAGUAACGCGUGGAUAACCUGCCGUAUACAGGGGGAUAACACUUAGAAAUAGGUGCUAAUACCGCAUAAGCGCACGGUUCCGCAUGGAACAGUGUGAAAAACUCCGGUGGUAUACGAUGGAUCCGCGUCUGAUUAGCCAGUUGGCGGGGUAACGGCCCACCAAAGCGACGAUCAGUAGCCGGCCUGAGAGGUGAACGGCCACAUUGGGACUGAGACACGGCCCAAACUCCUACGGAAGGCAGCAG
rnacentral:rRNA from 1 species